GACGAACGCUGGCGGCGUGCCUAAUACAUGCAAGUAGAACACAGUUGCGAACGGGUGAGUAACUCGUAGGUAACUGCCUCAUAGCGGGGGAUAACUAUUGGAAACGAUAGCUAUUACCCCAUAUUGUGAUAUGGACCUGCGUUGUAUUAGCUAGUUGGUGAGGUAAAGGCUCACCAAGGCGCAGAUACAUAGCCGAGCUGAGAGGGUGAUAGGCCAAACUGGGCAGGAGACACGGCCCAGACUCCUAGGGGAGGCAGGAGUAGGUAAUUUUCGGCAAGUGACGGAAGUCUGAUCGAGCAACGGCGCGUGAGUGAAGAAGGUUUUCGGAUCGUAAAGCUCUGUUGUGAGAGAAGCGUUAACUAACCAGAAAGGGAUGGCUAACUACGUGCCAGCAGCCGCGGUAAUUC
rnacentral:rRNA from 1 species